GGCGGCUCCGGCGGCGGCGUGGGCCGGGGCUCCUGCUGCUCUGCCUUCCUAGCGGGAAACUGACUGCCUGAGCUCUGGAGGACAAACAGAGACACUGGGGGGUCACCGGGAGCGGCCGCGGGCGGGGCUCUAGGCCUCCGCCGCCCACUGGGUCACUGAGCUCACGCAGCAACCCCAAAAAGACCCCGCCCGGUGACUCGGGGAGGAGAGAAGAAUCCAGGUCGCUCUCUUAGCAAAACCUGGGCCCUUAAACUGCCAGGUGCCAGGAAAAGGGGAGGCUCCAAGGCUGAGUCUACAGCCCAACGGGCCCAGGCCCUUGAGAAGCCCCUCUCCCCAUCCCGCUCCAUUCCCUCCCUGCGGCCUGAUGGGCCUGCACCCAUCCCCAGCCUGGGCCCAGUACCAGUUUGCCCAGAGGUAAGGGAAGAAGACACGCACCUCUUGAGCCACGUGAACCGGCUGGAGCCCCUGCACCGUGAGCUGCUGCACGGGGCCGGCUUUGGGCGCCUGCGGAGUGGCUUGGACCACCGACCUCUGGGGAUGGAAAAGACAAGUCAGACUAGGGCGCGAACAAAGGCUCCUCAAACUGGGGCUGACAGGAAGUGGCAGAACCAAAGUUGAACUUGGGACUGAGGGAGUCCUUGCCGCCCACCCCGACUCUCUACGUAUGACAACGAAAGAUGUCUCUAGACCAAUUUCCUUGGAGAUGCUACCGUAGGGGACAGUACAGCGAUGGACAGAAGGACGUGGACUUCCCAGCUCUCUGACAGCAGAGACCAACCUUCUCUCUUAUUUAAUUAAGCCCUUCUCUGGGACUCUGUUAAGGCAAGAGAACUGUGGGGCGCCUGGGUGGCUCAGUCGGUUAAGUGGCUGACUUCAGCUCAGGUCAUGAU